rnacentral:rRNA from 1 species
CCCUUAGAUGUCCUGGGCCGCACGCGCGCUACACUGACAUGUUCAACAAGCCUCCUAGUUCGACAGGAUUUGGGAAAUCUUUGAACGCAUGUCGUGAUAGGGAUAGAUCAUUGCAAUUAUUGAUCUUGAACGAGGAAUUCCUAGUAAACGCGAGUCAUCAGCUCGCAUUGAUUACGUCCCUGCCCUUUGUACACACCGCCCGUCGCACCUACUGAUUGAAUGUUUCGGUGAAGAUUCCGGAUAGGACUUUUUUGAUUUAUUUCAAUUUUGUCUUAAAAGCUAUCUAAACCUCAACAUUUAGAGGAAGGUGAAGUCGUAACA